UUUGAGAGGUUGCUCUCACACUGUCGCUGGUGAGACUCAAUCCCUGGUCAUUCUUCCAAAGUUUCACCUCUGUGACUAGUUGAGCUGUCCAUGCGGGGGCAAUUUCUAACU